GGCUCCGUAGUUCAGCUGGCUAGAACGCCGCCCUGUCACGGCGGAGGUCGUGGGUUCGAACCCCAUCGGAGUCGCCA
rnacentral:tRNA from 1 species